CCUACGGGCGGCUGCAGUGGGGAAUAUUGGACGAUGGGGGCAACCCUGAUCCAGCCAUGCCGCGUGUGUGAAGAAGGCCCUCGGGUUGUAAAGCACUUUCAGUGAGGAAGAACGCCUGGUGGUUAAUACCCAUCAGGAAAGACAUCACUCACAGAAGAAGCACCGGCUAACUCCGUGCCAGCAGCCGCGGUAAUACGGAGGGUGCGAGCGUUAAUCGGAAUUACUGGGCGUAAAGCGCGCGUAGGUGGCUUGAUAAGCCGGUUGUGAAAGCCCCGGGCUCAACCUGGGAACGGCAUCCGGAACUGUCAAGCUAGAGUGCAGGAGAGGAAGGUAGAAUUCCCGGUGUAGCGGUGAAAUGCGUAGAGAUCGGGAGGAAUACCAGUGGCGAAGGCGGCCUUCUGGACUGACACUGACACUGAGGUGCGAAAGCGUGGGUAGCAAACAGGAUUAGAUACCCGGGUAGUC
rnacentral:rRNA from 1 species